rnacentral:rRNA from 1 species
UACGUAGGGUGCGAGCGUUAAUCGGAUUUACUGGGCGUAAAGCGUGCGCAGGCGGCCCGUUAAGACAGGUGUGAAAUCCCUGGGCUCAACCUAGGAAUUGCGCUUGUGACUGGCGGGCUCGAGUACGGUAGAGGGGGGUGGAAUUCCUGGUGUAGCGGUGAAAUGCGUAGAUAUCAGGAGGAACACCGGUGGCGAAGGCGGUCAUCUGGCCCACUAUUGACGCUGAGGCACGAAAGCGUGGGGAGCAAACAGG